rnacentral:misc_RNA from 1 species
GCGAACUCAAGGUCUCCGACUUCGGUCUCUCCUCCGAUGCUGCCACACCCGACCUCCUCCAAACGCUCUGCGGCACACCAGCCUAUGUGGCCCCGGAGAUCCUCGCUAAGAAAGGCUACUCCGGCGCGGCUGUGGACGUGUGGUCCUGUGGGGUCGUUUUGUUUGUUCUCACUGCCGGUUACCUGCCGUUCAAUGAUACAAACCUAAUGGCUAUGUAUAGGAAGAUUUACAGAG